GAUGAACGCUAGCUACAGGCUUAACACAUGCAAGUCGAGGGACCGGCGCUCGGGUGAGUAACACGUAUCCAACCUGCCCUUUACUCGGGGAUAGCCUUUCGAAAGAAAGAUUAAUACCCGAUAUAAAGGAUGGGGAUGCGUUCCAUUAGGUUGUUGGUGAGGUAACGGCUCACCAAGCCUUCGAUGGAUAGGGGUUCUGAGAGGAAGGUCCCCCACAUUGGAACGGAGACACGGUCCAAACUCCGACGGGAGGGAGGGGUGAGGAAUAUUAGGCAAUGAGCGCGAGCCGGAACCAGCCAAGUAGCGUGAAGGGUGAAGGCUUAUGAGUCGUAAACUUCUUUUAAAUAAGAAUAUGUAUUAUAUGAAUAAGGAUCGGCUAACUCCGUGCCAGCAGCCGCGGUAAUAC
rnacentral:rRNA from 1 species